CACGUAGUUAGCUGGUGCUUAUUCUGCAGGUACCGUCAUUCAGCCCAGGUAUUAGCCAGGCCUAUUUCUUUCCUGCCAAAAGUGCUUUACAACCCGAAGGCCUUCAUCGCACACGCGGGAUGGCUGGAUCAGGGUUUCCCCCAUUGUCCAAAAUUCCCCACUGCUGCCUCCCGUAGGAGUCUGGGCCGUGUCUCAGUCCCAGUGUGGCUGGUCGUCCUCUCAAACCAGCUACGGAUCGUCGCCUUGGUAGGCCUUUACCCCACCAACUAGCUAAUCCGACAUCGGCCGCUCCAAUAGCGAGAGGUCCCGAAGGAUCCCCCCUUUCCCCUAAGGGCGUAUGCGGUAUUAGCCACGCUUUCGCGUGGUUAUCCCCCAUACUGGGUACGUUCCGAUGCAUUACUCACCCGUUCGCCACUCGCCGCCAGGCCGAAGCCCGCGCUGCCGUUCGACUUGCAUGUGUAAGGCAUCCCGCUAGCGUUCAAUCUGAGCCAGGAUCAAACUCU
rnacentral:rRNA from 1 species